rnacentral:tRNA from 1 species
GGACAGCUCGGUUGGUAGAGCAUCAGGCUUUCAAUCUGAGGGUCCAGGGUUCGAGCCCCGGCGGUUCA